rnacentral:lncRNA from 1 species
GGCAAUCCGGCCUUGUUCUCGCAAGCGACAUCUUCCCCAACGGUUGUCGCCUUUCUCCCAGCACCGACGUGCCAAUCCUUGUUCUCGCAAGUGUCGUCUUCCCCAAAGGUUGUCGAGCUGAGAGGUAAAAAGAAAAGAAAAUAUUAAAACAUGAGGUUUUAUCAACACUUAUCAUAAAACAAACAAAUGAUAACCGUAAUAUUGAUAAGUAUAUGUUAAAUAUUAUAAAAAUAAUAGGUAUAUUUGUUAAAAUAUUAUUAAAAUAAUGUGAGCGAUGAUGAUUAGAUAUACUUACAUGUUGAUUUGUAGAAUUAAAUAAAUUAUAGAUGAUGUUAUACGCUAGCAUGAGUUUAAAUAUAUAAAUAUUGCUUUUAUCUGUAGUGAUUGGGCCACGUGUCCUCUCUCACAUGGUAGAUAAAUCUGGAGAACACCAAAAGGGGAAAAAAUGAUACCAAGAGUUGGGCAGUUGUGCGUCGAGUGCGAAGGAAAAAACAGGGUUGUGGGUCCAAUCAAUGGCGUGCCCACAUAUAACUUACCGGUGUCACAGGACACCGGGUAAAAUUGUUAAAUUCUAACUAAUUUAUGCUAUUUUGAUUAGUAUACUAGUGAAUAAUUAGAUAACUACUAUGUAGUGGACCUCGAGUAAUGUAGUGGACCCCGGGUAAUUUUUAUUCUAGAUUCGCCGCUGGCUCCAAUCCUCCCUUGCAGAUGAAAGGAUAAUCUAAAAGGAUCGAUUAGGCAAUCAGCAAAUGCCUCUGUCAAUGGAGCCAAUGGUGGCCACCUGCUCAAAAUGUAUACGUUCGCUGUGUGUCUAGGAGUACGAGGGAAGAGCAUGGCUGUGGCAGCUCCAGUCCUCUCACGCAGAGGAAGGAUAAUCUGGAAGUAUCUAUAUAUCAGGGGAAGGAGCAAAUGCCUCUGUCAAUGGAGCUCACUUGCUCUACAUGUACAUGUUCAAAGAUAGAGUAUUCUAUAGUACAUUUGCAAAAAAUGUUAGAAUGCAUAUACAACUACUCAUAUUCAUAUAUAUCUCUAUAAGUAUUUUCGAAAUAUUGAGCUGCAUAUCUUAAAUGAAAAAAAAAACUAUUUUAUCUCUUCGAACCAAUUCAAUGGACACUACUAAAAAAAUCUAUCAUGAGUUAAUAACUUAAUUGUAAUUUAAAAAAAACAAAGGAAUAACUAAUGGCAUGGAUGGAAAAAGGGAGAAAAUUUGAUGAUUUUCUCAACAAUAUGAUCUAUUACGUUAAACUGGAACUCAAAAAAUUCCAUUCAACUAAGAUUUUUUUAAACUUUUAUGAACAAUGUGCUAAUUAAUAACACAAAAAUAAUAUAUACGGGCUAUAAAUCAUGCGCGCCAGGUGCGCAUGAUUUUCUAGUUUUAGUGGAAAUGGGGCCUACAAGAGAAGAAAAUAUUGUUUUUUUUGUUGUGUUCAACUUAUGAAAAGUAUUAUUAGGCGAUUGGAAAUUGGAAUGACAGUUAGUAUGACUUACGGAUGUUUUUGUUCAAUAAUAUAAUGAAUUAUUAUAUUCACUAUUGCAAAAAAAAAAGUUAUGAGGGCCUCUAUCUUUAUUUCACCCAAGGGCUUCCAAGAAGUUAGGACUGGCCCUGAAUAAAACCUUCAUUGGAAUGAAUGGAUGAAUUUUCAGUGUUUGUUUUGUGAGAAUCGAACUAAUUUCGAUGAUGAUCCUGUGAAAUCUUAAACUAUUUUCUCACUAAUUACUUCAGGCUGUGUUUAGUUCACAUCAAAAUUAGAAGUUUGGUUGAAAUUGGAACGAUGUGACGGAAAAGUUAGAAAUUUGUGUGUGUAGAAAAGUUUUGAUGUGAUAAAAAAAUUGGAAGUUUGAAGAAAAACCUUUGGAACUAAACACGGCCUCAAUCUUCGUAAAAUUUCUCCGAAAUUCGUCAAGUCCAAAGGCUGCAUGCCUUGCUGAAUUCUGUCCACACAACAAACGCUGGUCUCGUGUCAUCUCCACAUCGCCGGAG